GAUGAACGCUAGCGGCAGGCCUAAUACAUGCAAGUCGAACGGUGUCUUCGGACAUAGUGGCGCACGGGUGCGUAACACGUAUGCAACCUACCUUACAUUGGGGGAUAGCCUUUCGAAAGGGAGAUUAAUACCGCAUAAGACAGUAGCUGGGCAUCCAGCAGCUGUUAAAGAUUUAUCGAUGUAAGCUGGGCAUGCGUCCAAUUAGCUAGUUGGUGAGGUAACGGCUCACCAAGGCAAUGAUUGGUAGGGGAACUGAGAGGUCAAUCCCCCACACUGGCACUUAGAUACGGGCCAGACUCCUACGGUAGGCAGCAGUAGGGAAUAUUGGGCAAUGGACGCAAGUCCGACCCAGCCAUGCCGCGUGCAGGAUGAAGGCGUUAUGCGUUGUAAACUGCUUUUAUACAGGAAGAAACGACUCUUGCGAGAGGCAUUGACGGUACUGUAUGAAUAAGCACCGGCUAACUCCGUGCCAGCCGCCGCCGUAACAC
rnacentral:rRNA from 1 species